rnacentral:rRNA from 1 species
GACGAACGCUGGCGGCGUGCUUAACACAUGCAAGUCGAACGGAAAGGCCCUGCUUUUGUGGGGUGCUCGAGUGGCGAACGGGUGAGUAACACGUGAGUAACCUGCCCUUGACUUUGGGAUAACUUCAGGAAACUGGGGCUAAUACCGGAUAGGAGCUCCUGCUGCAUGGUGGGGGUUGGAAAGUUUCGGCGGUUGGGGAUGGACUCGCGGCUUAUCAGCUUGUUGGUGGGGUAGUGGCUUACCUAGGCUUUGACGGGUAGCCGGCCUGAGAGGGUGACCGGCCACAUUGGGACUGAGAUACGGCCCAGACUCCUACGGGAGGCAGCAGUGGGGAAUAUUGCACAAUGGGCGGAAGCCUGAUGCAGCAACGCCGCGUGCGGGAUGACGGCCUUCGGGUUGUAAACCGCUUUCGCCCGUGACGAAGCGUGAGUGACGGUAAUGGGUAAAGAAGCACCGGCUAACUACGUG